UACGUAGGGGGCGAGCGUUGUCCGGAGUUACUGGGCGUAAAGCGCCCGCAGGCGGUCCGUCGCGUUUGAGGUAACAGCGCCCGGCUUCACUGGGCGAGCGUCUCAAAAACGGGCGGACUUGAGGGCCAGAGAGGGAGACGGAAUUCCGGGUGGAGUGGUGAAAUGCGUAGAUAUCCGGAGGAACACCGAAGGCGCAGGCAGUCUCCUGGCUGGUACCUGACGCUCAUGGGCGAAAGCUAGGGGAG
rnacentral:rRNA from 1 species